GCAUAUCAAUAAGCGGAGGAAAAGAAACCAACAGGGAUUGCCUCAGUAACGGCGAGUGAAGCGGCAAGAGCUCAAAUUUGAAAGCUGGCUCCUUCGGGGUCCGCAUUGUAAUUUGCAGAGGAUGCUUCGGGAGCGGCCCCCAUCUAAGUGCCCUGGAACGGGCCGUCAUAGAGGGUGAAAAUCCCGUCUGGGAUGGGGUGUCCGCGCCCGUGUGAAGCUCCUUCGACGAGUCGAGUUGUUUGGGAAUGCAGCUCUAAAUGGGUGGUAAAUUUCAUCUAAAGCUAAAUAUUGGCCGGAGACCGAUAGCGCACAAGUAGAGUGAUCGAAAGAUGAAAAGCACUUUGAAAAGAGAGUUAAACAGCACGUGAAAUUGUUGAAAGGGAAGCGCUUGCGACCAGACUCGCCCACGGGGUUCAGCCGGCAUUCGUGCCGGUGUACUUCCCCGCGGGCGGGCCAGCGUCGGUUUGGGCGGCCGGUCAAAGGCCCUCGGAAUGUAACGCCCCCCGGGGCGUCUUAUAGCCGAGGGUGCCAUGCGGCCAGCCCAGACCGAGGAACGCGCUUCGGCUCGGACGCUGGCAUAAUGGUCGUAAGCGACCCGUCUUGAAACACGGACCAAGGAGUCUAACAUCUACGCGAGUGUUCGGGUGUCAAACCCGUGCGCGCAGUGAAAGCGAACGGAGGUGGGAACCCCUCGGGGUGCACCAUCGACCGAUCCUGAUGUCUUCGGAUGGAUUUGAGUAUGAGCGUAGCUGUUGGGACCCGAAAGAUGGUGAACUAUGCCUGAAUAGGGUGAAGCCAGAGGAAACUCUGGUGGAGGCUCGCAGCGGUUCUGACGUGCAAAUCGAUCGUCAAAUUUGGGUAUAGGGGCGAAAGACUAAUCGAACCAUCUAGUAGCUGGUUCCUGCG
rnacentral:rRNA from 1 species